rnacentral:rRNA from 1 species
UACGUAGGAGGCGAGCGUUGUCCGGAAUUACUGGGCGUAAAGGGCUCGUAGGCGGCCAACUAAGUCGGAUGUGAAAUCCCCAGGCUUAACCUGGGAACUGCAUCCGAUACUGGAUGGCUUGAAUCCGGGAGAGGGAUGCAGAAUUCCAGGUGUAGCGGUGAAAUGCGUAGAUAUCUGGAGGAAUACCGGUGGCGAAGGCGGCAUCCUGGACCGGCAUUGACGCUGAGUGAGCGAAAGCCAGGGGAGCAAACAGGG